UUGCUCAACAGCUCGUAGUGUUAUUUUGCUUGCUCACCGGCUCAGAGUGUUAUUUUGCUUGCUCGCCAGCUCGUAGUGUUAUUUUGUAUGCUCUCCAGCUUUGCAUUGCAUGCUAGUUUAGUUUAUAGAUUUGCCUUGCUGGCACAUCUCCUGCAAGUCUGUGAUAGGAAAUUUGAGUUUAUAUGUGACAUUACCUUUUUGAUUACUUUUUUCC